GGACAUCACUAUAUCCAAACGUUUUUUGCAUCUUUUCUAGCUAUCAGCUGUGAGUUCUUGGAGAACUGCUCAGUCAUGGGUUCUCUUCCAGCUGUUUUGCUUCAGAAAAUUUAUUUGCUUCAGAAAUUUAUUUCAAAGGACGAGAGAAUUGCUGAGAAAUACUCCUGGGUGGAGCAUGUUGUUUCUAUACUUAGUAGCAAAAUGACUAAUUGGUCUAUGGGAUCACGAAGUGUGGGACACGACUUAGAGACUGAACAAUAACAACAACAAGAAGAUGACUAAAGUGUCUGUGUGAAUUUCCUACCUUUCUUUGUAAAUAAACUCUCAAGUGCAUA